UCUCUCUCUCUCUCUCUCUCUCUCUCACACACACACACACACACAGUGAGAGUGAGAGAGAGAGAGAGAGAGAGAGAGAGAGA